rnacentral:piRNA from 1 species
UGAUUUCAAAGGUAUAAGGCA